CCUACGGGAGGCAGCAGUGGGGAAUAUUGCACAAUGGGGGAAACCCUGAUGCAGCGACGCCGCGUGAAGGAAGAAGUAUUUCGGUAUGUAAACUUCUAUCAGCAGGGAAGAAAAUGACGGUACCUGACUAAGAAGCCCCGGCUAACUACGUGCCAGCAGCCGCGGUAAUAUGUAGGGGGCAAGCGUUAUCCGGAUUUACUGGGUGUAAAGGGAGCGUAGGCGGUUUAGCAAGUCAGAAGUGAAAGCCCGGGGCUCAACUCCGGAACUGCUUUUGAAACUGUUGAACUUGAUUGCAGGAGAGGUAAGUGGAAUUCCUAGUGUAGCGGUGAAAUGCGUAGAUAUUAGGAGGAACACCAGUGGCGAAGGCGGCUUACUGGACUGUAAAUGACGCUGAGGCUCGAAAGCGUGGGGAGCAAACAGGAUUAGAUACCCUAGUAGUC
rnacentral:rRNA from 1 species